GAUGAACGCUAGCUACAGGCUUAACACAUGCAAGUCGAGGGGUAACGAGAGGAAAGCUUGCUUUCCUUGUCGACGACCGGCGCACGGGUGAGUAACGCGUAUCCAACCUGCCCCCAACUAGGGAAUAACCUUGCGAAAGUAAGACUAAUACCCUAUAAUUUCCUCAGAUGUCAUCUGACGAGGAAUAAAGAUUUAUCGGUUGUGGAUGGGGAUGCGUCUGAUUAGCUUGUUGGCGGGGUAACGGCCCACCAAGGCAACGAUCAGUAGGGGUUCUGAGAGGAAGGUCCCCCACGGUGGAACUGAGACACGGUCCAAACUCAUACGGGAGGCAGCAGUGAGGAAUAUUGGUCAAUGGGCGGAAGCCUGAACCAGCCAAGUAGCGUGCAGGAUGACGGCCCUAUGGGUUGUAAACUGCUUUUAUACAGGAAUAAAGUUAGCCACGUGUGGUUAUUUGUAGGUACUGUAUGAAUAAGGACCGGCUAAUUCCGUGCCAGCCGCCGCGGUAA
rnacentral:rRNA from 1 species